rnacentral:rRNA from 1 species
ACAGCAGAAUGAAGGCCAGGCUGAAGACCUUGCUAGACUAGCUGAGAGGAGGUGCAUGGCCGUCGUCAGUUCGUACUGUGAAGCAUCCUGUUAAGUCAGGCAACGAGCGAGACCCGCGCCCAUAGUUGCCAGCAAUCCCUCUGGGGAGAUGGGUACACUAUGGGGACCGCCUCUGCUAAAGAGGAGGAAGGAACGGGCAACGGUAGGUCAGCAUGCCCCGAAUCUCCCGGGCUACACGCGGGCUACAAUGAUCGGGACAAUGGGAAUCGACACCGAGAGGUGAAGGUAAUCUCCUAAACCCGAUCGUAGUUCGGAUUGGGGGCUGAAACUCGCCCCCAUGAAGAUGGAAUCCGUAGUAAUCGCGUCUCAAAAUGGCGCGGUGAAUAUGUCCCUGCUCCUU